GUUAGAGUGGGAUGUAACUAUAUUUCCAUUUGCUAGUCCCAAGUGAUGAGGAAGCAGAACAUUAUCAAGUUUGUUCCGGGCAAGAAUGUGUGGGAAAGAUGAAAGAACCAACAAAAGAGACUGAAAAGAUGCCUCCCAGGAGAGAGGAAGAGAACCACAGGGGCUUGGGAGCCUGGAAGCUAAGUGAAUACAUGUUUUGAGGGGGAGGAAGUAAGCAACUAUAAAACAAAUGGUGCUAAUAAAUUGAGUAAAAUAUUUUUUUCUGGGAAGAACUAUAAAAAACUGAUAAAAAGUAGUUAUUUUCAAGAAGAGGUUCUGGUGGAGGGGAAAGAGAAGGCUGCCACCUAUCAUAAUUCACCUUCUUCUGUCCGAACUUUCUAGCCUUGCAUAUAAAUUAUUCUGUUUUCCAAUAUGAAUGAUCUGGGAGGUGAGAUUACAGAAAAUGUUUUGGUAUUUUUUUAUUGGAGUUCGAUUUGCCAGACAUUUUUUCCAAAAUCUGUUUUAAAAGGGCCUCUUACCACCAACAACUUUCAUCACAUUCCAACUGAAAUUGCACAAGAAGAAAAUGCAAAUGCAAGAUUGCUCAGGAGAGCCACUUCUUACUGGGCUUAAGAGAUCCUGCAAUUCACUGUGAUGAUUACAAGGUGAAAAGUUGACAAAAGGCAACUUGAAGAUCGCUUUAACAAUUUACUGGAUUUUGGGCAGCCCUGGUGGCUCAGUGGUUUAGCGCUGCCUUCAGCCCAGGGCCUCAUCCUGGAGACCCGGGAUGGAGUCCCAUGUCGGGCUCCCUGCAUGGAGCCUGCUUCUCCCUCUGCCUGUGUCUCUGCCUCUCUCUCUGUGUCUCUCAUGAAUAAGUAAAUAAAUAAAUCUUUAAAAAAUAUUUACUGGAUUUC
rnacentral:lncRNA from 1 species